rnacentral:lncRNA from 1 species
AGGAGAGGAGAAAGAGAAUCUUUAGCAGGUUCAAGCUGCAGCAUGAAGCCUGCUGCGGGGCCCCAUCUCAUGACCUUGAGAUCACCACCUGAGCUGAAAUCAAGAGACCAAUGCUUAGCCAACUGAGCUACCCAGGCACCCCCAAACUUUUAACACCUUAGCAAUCUGAUAAACAACAAAAAAAGAGAUGCUUUGUUUAAAUUUCUCACAUUUGGAUUUAUUGUAAUAUAAAAUAUAAAAAUAUUAUGUAUUGAAUCACUAAUGACAAACCACUAAAUACGAAACAAGUAAAUAAAGCAGUACUGAAAAGGAAUUUAGUUUAGAACUUUCUUUUUUCUUUUAAGAUUUGUUUAUCUGAGAGAGAGAGAGAGAGAGAGAGAGAGAAUGUGCACAAGUCAGGGGAGGGGCAGAGGGAGAGGGAAAGAAUAUUCAAGCAGACUCUGUGCUGAGCAUGGAGCCCUUUGUGUGGAGGGGGGCUGAAUCUCACAACCCUGAGAUCAUGACUUGAGCCAAAACCAAGAGUUCAAAGUUUAACCAACUGAGCCAAGUUUUGGCUCAAGUCAUGAUCUUGACCUUGGUUUGUUUCCUAGUGUUUUUUUUUCUAGUUGAAAAAAAAUACGUGAGUAGGAGAAAAUAAGAUCCAAGUAGAACAAGAAGACCUAAUGAAAAGUGAGCUUAUCCCAUGGUCCAGACAGACCUCCAGUCUUGAUAUGCCUGCUAAUAAUUUCUGGUGUAUCCUUCCAGUAAAUUUCUAUGCAUACAACAUAUCAAUUUUUUCAUAAAUGGAAGCAUAUUCUGUACACUACUGGUGCCUUGAUUUUUUUCAGCUAACAUAUUGUAUGGAUUAUUCUAAAUCUUCAUAUAUGGGUGGACCUCAUUUUUCUUAACAACUGUACAGUAUCCUAUGGUGGCCAUGCCACAAUCUAUUUCACCUGUGCUCUGCUGAAGAGGACUGAGGUUGAAUCCAUGGUUUGGGUAUGAUAUAUCCACACAGCCCUUUACAGUACAUGUGCGAAAUCUACUCCUGAAAUGGAAUGGCUGUGUCAUAGGAUUUUUGCAUUUUUAAUUUGGCUAGAUAUUCCAAAAUCGCUUUCCAAAAAAGUUGUACCAUUUCACACUCCCACCAACAGUAUAUGGAGAGGCUUUUCUUUAUUCUAUCAAAAGAAGCUCUUUAAAGAUUAGCAAUCCCACAUGUACUACACAAAAUAAAACUGUCCCAAGGAGGAAAUAGAUUUGUAAACAAAAGACCCAAAUUACAUAAAUUAGAAAUCCUCAAAGUAGUCAAAUAAGGUCCAUUGAUAUGAAUCUUUCUUUGUGAUGACUUUGUAGGUCUCCAUUUACUCUAAGAUCUUUGUGAACCACACCACCUCUGGCAAUUUUACCCAUAAAUUACCAUCUACGAAGGAGGUGACGGUUUCAACACCACUUAAGUGCUAAUACUGAAACAACUUUCUAGCACAUUCUCCCAUUCUGAAGCUUGAGUUUAUUCCCUUUCCCAAGUUAUUACCAGGAUAAUUUUCCAUUGCCCCCAAAUAACCUCUGUCCUGAGCCACCAUCUACACAAAGAGAAAGUGACCACAUGCACUGCCUUUCAUUAUAAUGCUGCCUUCAGGUUAUAUAGAACUUCUCCACCAAAACUCUUAACAUGUUUGUAUAUGUUAUUUCAUGUACCUCCACAACUUCUGACUGAGGUUGGGAAGGUGUGGUUGAAAUCUGUGGAGAUACAUGCAGAAGUUAUUUUGGCAUCUUCUACAGCAGCCACAAAAACAAGAUCCUGUGUCAAGGUCCCAGGAUUAACAAGGUGGAUCCAAGGAAACUAGGUAACAGGACUUAAAUUCAGUAAGUGACAUUGCUUAUUUUAGUCUCUUCUGGGUUUCCUCAGAAUCUGUCAGUGACCUUUAAAAUGCAGGUCAGGACACUAAGAUGCCAGACCCUCUUCCAGCGUGAGUCGUUAGCAGGUGAUCCCAUGCUCUGAUCUGGCCACCUUAAAUUUAGACACUGAGAGGAUGGGUUCCCAUGCUCAAAUAUGGCCAUUUUAACCCUGCCUCCAGGUGAUCUGGUACAUGAUUCCAGUGUGUUAAAGUAGGCUUUCCUAAGCAUUUUCCGAGGCAAAUUUACAUUAGGAUUCUUUAGCGGUCAUAAAGGUCUAUUCAAGUAGGGCAGCAGUUUGGCUGAGAAACACUACAGUUCUGAAAGGGACUACGUAACUCCUAGAGGGCCUUGUUUAUUCAGGGGAGUGACAUAUACUGAGAUACUUGAUACUGGGUUCCAGGCAGUGACAAGAAGGUACCUGUUGCUGUUCUAAGCUCUCCAGUCCAGACACUGUCUCCAGUGCAGACAUCAUUUGUCUUGUGCAAGGCCUCCACUAGCCUACCUGGAUGUCCUAGGGCUGAGCCUAACCAGAGCUGAGCCCAACUCAGAGUCCACUGUUGCCCCUGAGGCCACCAUUCCCAAGUGCAACCAACCCUGUGGCCUUGGAGCCCCAUUGAGUAGAUUCUGAAGUUUUUGUACUGCUCAAGGCUCCCCAGCCCGAAACAGCAUGACAUCUUCAAUACCAAUCAAGGUAGAGCUAGAACAUCCCCAGGCCUCCAGAAGAAGGUUGAGGGUAGGAAAAGGAAGGAGGAGGAAAGUUAACCUCUAUUCCGUGCCUUAAGCAAUGUGUAACAUCCUUGGUGACAGGUACUAGUGUAGCCAUUCUGCAAAAGGAGAACUUGAGGAACAGAGAGGUUAAAUAAUUUACCCAGAGUCACAAAGCACUUUAAUGUCUAUGUAGACAUCUUUUGAUUUGGCCUGCUUUGGAUUCCUUCCCCCUUCUUAAGUAACAGUACCAUCACUUCCAGGUUGAAAUGGGACACCCCUACCACCAGCACCAUCCCACUCAGGGGUAUAUAUGUGACUUAGAAUUGGCUAAUCAGCAACCUCUCCAAGACCUUUGUUGUACCCCUUGAAAAGAAACUCUAUCCUUCCUCUACCCAUCCUUAGUACUAAGGAUCUAUGAGUCUAGAGCUACUGAGAAAGACUUCUUAGAGUGAGGCCAACAGAGAAAUAGAGUGGAAAGAGAUUUCCAAUAACAUCUUUUGGGUGCCUGGAUAUUGCUGUGCCUGAAAGCAAAACAACUCCCUGGAUUUUUCAGUUACAUGAGCCAACAUAGCCUUUACUUAUGCUAUUUUGAUGAAUGUAGUAAGCUUGAACUUGAAUCCAGGAUUGUUGGACUCUAAAGCUAAUGAUUUUUACAUGAAACAGAACACCUUCCCCACAUACAGUCCUCACUGAGCUGGCAUUUCCUAAGGCCAUAUUCACACUCUAGUUGCAUGUUUCAGGUGGAGAACAAGUCCAGUGGAGUUCUGGACUUGAGGACAUUUCUAGUAUUGCCCCAUUGAAAAAGUCACCCCUCUCGACAGAUACACACACACACACACACAUUCCUCUAGAGUUGAUGGCUGAAAAAAGCUUCCCUUAGUAUCUGAUACCCAGUCAUAUUCUGGGGUCUUGGGCUGUGUUGCAACCCACCAAAGCUGUGGUGAUAUGGGCCCCUUAGAGGUGCCAGCCAAGAUCUUUCCAAUUGUACACAUAUGUAGGGACACUAGCAUUCCUUAGGGGGUAGAGGGGCACCAGCAAUUGUCACAGUGUUUCUGGGAAAACAUUGCUGGAAGAUUAUCUCAGUAUGGGAUGCCAUAAGAAAAUGCCAUAAGCUGGAUGGCUUAAACAAUGGAAAUUUACUUUCUCACAGUUCUGGAGGCUGGAAGUCCUAGAUCAGGAUGCUGGCAAAGUAAGUUUCAUCCUGAGGCUUCUUUUCUUGGCUUAUAGAUGGCCUCCAUCUUGCUGUAUGUCCACACGAUCUUUUCUUGCAUGUGCUAGACAGAGGGAGAGAGAGAGUGGGAGAGAGAGCAAGAGAGCAUCUAAUGGUGUUUCUUCUUUUAAGGAUACUAAUCCUGUUGGAUCAGGGCCCUAACCUAUUUCAAAAUAUGGUUAUGUCGGGGUUAGGGCUUCAACAUAUGAAUUUUGGUGGGGCGGCACAUAAAUAUUCAGUCCAUUACACAGAUGCACUGGAAACCUUCAUUGAGGAGAUGUAAAGAAAAUGUAGAACAGACUAUCCAGAAGAACUUGGAGGCAGUUGGUGUUCUUUCUCAGAGCCUAGGCUUAGGCA